CCAACUGCUGGCUAUAAGCCAUCUUAUAGCCCACCUUAUAGCUAGCUUGUACAAUAGUUAGCUACAAAAGAGUACUAUUUUUAUCAUAUAUGGCCCACUUUUCAUUCUCACAAAACACCUAGGAAUACGUGCUAGAGCUGGCUGUUCACGAAGAGCCCGCUUCCCUUCUCUCUCCUCUUCUCUCUCUCAUCCAACUCAGUAAAAAUAUAGUAUUUUAAUCCUUACAGUCUGCUGACUGUACCUUAUUAUACUUGCUCUAAGAGACGAAGCAACACAUGAGAGUUGAGAAUUCUGGAUGAUUUCCAAUAUGUCGAGAGAUGAGAUCGACUAAGGCUCAUUGCGUCUGCUAUCUAUCUAUCUGUAACAGUAAGUAUGGAUUAUUAUGGUUGUCUUGUUUUUGUGUCGAAUGACCGAUCAAAUUCAUACCGACAUGUAGAUGUUCUAUUCUCCCGUCCCGUUGUGUACACUGUCAAUUAACUGAGAAAAAAAUUAAUAUGCGGACGACUAGGUUCCUUCAUCUCCCUCGAAGAAUAAAUCUUCGCUGAUUUAAGUCCCCAUUGAUUCUUUUCAUCUUCCCAGUAUUUCUAUCUCUCUCUCUCCAUUACUGACCCAAGCCUUCGAGGGAACGCCAUUGCAAUCAGCGCUGCCACCUCGAACGCGACAACUUCCGUCCGACCGGUCAGGCCUCCGACGAGCACUACAUCAUCAGCAAGUCGCUGACGCCGGUCGAGAUCUUCGAGCUCCCCAAGAAAUGCACCCUCAUACUGGUGCUCACGGGCUAGUGCGUGGUCUUCGCGAGCGCUGCGGCCUCUACGACACAGACUCCGGCACUAGAUACUCCUACCCGUCCGAUGGUCAAGGCCGAGCCCGAGUUCCCCGACCAGUGUAUGGGAGGAAGGGUUGGUAGGCGUAAAGGGAUGGAGGGCCUCCAGCUGCUACACGUUGGAUUCCACAUGAAGGUUUUUCUGUUCUGUUUUUUCAGAAAAAAAUGAGCAAAAGAAUCGGGACAAAGCAACCCAUGUUUAUCUCUCAAUUUUCUGAUAGUAGGAUCCUGCUAUCUCUCCGACCUUGCAAAGCAAAUGGGUUGGCAAAUAUAUGUCUCCAAAUAUACUCAUUUUACUUCUCAGUUUUUACUGUUUGAGAAGCACUUCGG
rnacentral:lncRNA from 1 species